rnacentral:rRNA from 1 species
AAUACAACUUUCAGCAACGGAUCUCUUGGCUCUCGCAUCGAUGAAGAACGCAGCGAAAUGCGAUAAGUAAUGUGAAUUGCAGAAUUCAGUGAAUCAUCGAAUCUUUGAACGCACCUUGCGCUCCUUGGUAUUCUGAGGAGCAUGCCUGUUUGAGUGUC